GUCACGCUUGCGAUUCCCUUUCAUCUUUUCAAUCAUGUUGCGCUCAACUGAAAUGAUAAUCAGUAACGUUAUCGCACUACACCCACUACAUCGUCUUCAAUUCUUCUUUAAUUUCUCCUUCAGUUUCGUGGAUCCAUAUAUAUACAAACCAAGCUAGAGACGAACCGAAUUCCUAUUCAUUUCGACCAUGGCGUCUUCUCAAGUUCAUUUCCGGAGCUUAAGGCCGGCCGUUGCAAGCAGAUGUUUCACACCAGACUCCUGCAAUUUUACGAUGGCCGGAAUGUCAAUAAAGGUGGGGAGCUGAUGGGAGUUGACAUGUUCCUUAUAGAUGUGAAGACCUAAAUCAAUUAUCAACAGGCUCACACUCAAACACGUUUUGAAAGAAUGCUCGCUUUAUGAGCUCAGUGUUUUUGAUGUUGCAAGAAGCAACACUAACUUCAGGUUUUGUGAUGCUCCUGUCGCUAUUAGAUUCACUGAACAAACAUGAGGAACACAUUCUCUCUGAAGCCUAGAUUUCAUGGCCAACUCUCACCAGAAGACCUGGAUGAGCUCCUCAGUUGUGUUGUGGGCGUAGAUAUGCGUGGAUAUGCUCAUGCCUUUCUGGGAUGCUCGGAAUCUCAAGAAAGGCGUCAAUUGUCGGUCUGAUAAUCUCGAAAGUGAUUGAGAUGAUCCUCUAUGAUUAAAGAGUUUUCUUCUCAAGCUAUGUUGAUUUAGGCUUCGAUUAAUGUCCACUGGCUUAAGACUUCAAACACAUAUUGAGUGAAGGAACAUUUUAUGAUCUCAGUGCUUUUGAUGUGACAAAAAGCAAUCCCAGCUUCUGCUUUAGCGAUUGCCAACAUGCUAUUUGCUUCAGUGACCAAACCGUCUUUGUGGAGCUCACUGAACCAUUUGAACAGAUUCCGCUUGAGAGUUUCAGGUUCUGGAAUUAUGAAAGCAAGUUACAAUGAAGAGACUCAGUGUAUCCAGCGCAUGAUGAUCACCCUAAGCAUUAAAAGCCACUCAAAUGUCUGCCUAAGUGCUUUUGACGGAUGAGUUAAAGACUUUGAUGAAGAUUUGCCUGUAAUGCUAAUGGUGUUGUGGAAUAUGGAAGCGGUGAGGCCAUAAAACCAAGUUACGCCUCUGGUGAUGGUCGGAACACAAGUGAGGUUACCCAGAGAAGGAAGAUGGGUCCUCUGGAAAUAAGGCACGGUACGGACUGACUAAUUUGAAAGAACAAGGAGAGCUUAAAUUACACAACAUGGUGACAUGCCUUUUGCAUUAGGUUUAAACUAAAAAAUUCACAGACAAUGAAGUUAGAAUACUUCAAAUCUUUAGCAUAUUUGGUUCUGUUGAUUUAGUUUUUACUUUUGCACCCGUUCAGACAUUUUUAAUCCAGUAAAUUUGAAAUUCCUCCUACAA